rnacentral:lncRNA from 1 species
AGGAGACAGAGUUGAGGAUCCAGUGGUCAGGGAGUGGUGAGGAAAGUUGAUGAGAUUGGUGCAAGCUGGAAUAGUUGACAGUGAUUCUUCUUAUCGAAGAUGAUCUGACUUGGUAAGAAAUAUUGUAUAGUAUUAGUGGUGGAUUCUAAUUUCAAUACUGUAACCUGGAAGCGAUCCUGUUGUUUUGGGGGUUAAAUGUUCUCUUAAAAUUUUCUUAUUAUGGUUUUCAAGUUUGAAAUUCAGGUUUUGAAAUCAUUUGAUUUAUGUUCUCAUUCAAAGUUUUUAUUAAAUGUUUUCAAGUUUUAAAUUCUUUUGGAUUUUCAUUAUCUUUAAAUGAAAAUACCAGGUUUCAAAAGUAUUUUAAAAAGGGUUUUGUGUGGUGACGUCAGAAUCCAGACCCCCGGAUUCUCGGACUGUCACAGUUGGUAUCAGAGCAACAGGUUACAAGUUAUUGGAAUUUGAAUAUAGAUUAUAGUUUUAAGUUCUAUUGAUGAGGAAUGUUGUGUAACCUCACAUAGAGGUAUUGUGAGACUAUCUGGAAAUAGUCUAGAGAUGUGUCAGGAUUAGAAUCUAGUUAGAUGAUUAAGUUGAGUGUAUAAGUUUAGAGAGAUUUUGAUUCUUAAGUUUAGACAUAGGAUUUCUAGUUGAUUAGGAUUCUUAAGUUUAGACAUAUGAUUUCUAGUAUGUUGAUUAAUUGAGAUGGUGAAUUGUGGGAAAGGUCAGUAUUAGACCAAUAUAGAAGAGUUUGAUAGUGAAUGAUUGAAUUGAGAAUGGUGAAAAUGCAGAGUCAUAGUAUUCUGACUAUACUGCAUAUUUGAAACUGGAUUAUUGUAUUGAUUUGAGGAUGAUAUAAAUGCAUGGUUCAUAGUAUGUUGACCAUGUUGGAUAUUUGGAAAAGUAUAUUGUUUUGUGAGAUAUGAAGAGUUAGUGUAAGAUAUGAGUUGUACUGAAUCAGAAGGAGAGAUUUAUAGAUAGAGGUGGAUAGGUGAGAAGUGAAUGAUAGAGAGUAUGUGGAGUUGAGUCCAGCUAUUAGAGGUAAUGUCUGCGAAUAAGUUAGAACGUUAGUCCUCGACGACAACGCUUCGAGCUAAUCGGGGUUUCAAAUGGCAUCAAGGUGGGCCCAUAACCCACAGGUUGAUGAUCCAGACAAUCGAAUAUACAAUACCUAUCGAAGAUACGUUACGUGUUUGUGCUAUGGAUUUCAAAGGCAACUGGGAUAAAGUAGAAGAAUGUAAAUUACAUGGGCCAGAGUUAUUACGGACGAUAACGUCUACGAUGACAUCUUACGAGGCUAUUACGAGUCAAAUCGAUUGAUUAUCGAGAACGUUGAAAGGAUGACAUAAAUCGAAUAACGAUUUCGUAAAGUAGAGUGGGAAUUUGAGAAGACCUUGGCAAUACCUCUCUUCAACUAAAGAUUCUUUUGAUUAUUUUCUCAUCAGUGAGAUAUUAUCAUGAUAUCUUUUCUACAAAAGUUUUGAUAAAUGAGAUCUUCAAUUUCUCAAAUUCUAAGAUGACAUUGAUAUUGAUUAUUGGUAUGAGUUGGAAAGCAAAGAUGUGUGAUAAAGGUUUGUUGUGAAGAGAUAGUGAUGUUCCUUGAUAUUGUUUGACAUUUCUUGACAUUCCUUGAUACCCUUUCAUCUUCCUUGAUAUCCCUUGAUGUUCUUUGAUAUCUUUGAUAUUCCUUGACAUUCUUUGAUAUUCCUUGACAUUUAUUCAAUUUGAUUGGGAUGAACAACCCUAUUUAUAGGGGACACAAGGUAUACCUGUCUGUGUGAUAGGAGUUGGAUGGGACGCCAUCACUUGUGUGUGUUGUGAUUACAAGAAGGUUAACAACCUUUAGUAGUGUCUAAUAUGGACACGCAACAUUAAGUUCAUUUGAUCUUAUUGAUCUCCCAGUCACUCUUGUAUUCCAAUGUGACCUAUUUUGAAAAUAUCUUGUUCCUCCGAAAUUCCCAAAGAUUGAUUCUUGGGAAAUGAAUGUUGCAAUCGCGAAAGUUUGACUUUCCUUUUCCAUUAAAGUUAAAGGUAUGCCAAGAUCAAUCAAAGGUGGAUGACGAUAUGAUAUUACGAAGUGUGUACGUUUUAGUUUCUUCGGAGGAUUCCGAGGACGGAAUCCUUAUAAGGGGGGUAGAAUGUAAUAUCCCAUAUUAUUAAAUUUAGAUUUGAUUAUUAUAAAUCUAUUUGUCUAGAUAUUAUUGUUGGCUCUAGUUGAAUAUUGAUAUGAUUAUGUGAAUAGUUGUAUGUGAUUAUACUUGUUAUGUGGAUUAAUAUGGAUUUUACAGAUUAUGCGUCCUCCUUCUUUCUCUGAUUCCGAGGACGGAAUCCCUAUAAGGAGGGUAGAUUGUAAUAACCCGGAUUUUAAAAAUAUUUUUAUUAAUAUUAUAAAUGAUUUUCUUAAAAAGAAAGGAAUAAGAUUUAAUAUUUUAUUCCAGUUUAAGGAGUUUUCAAAAUUUUAUAUUAAACCCCGGGUUAUUGUGUUAUUGAUAAAUGAUUAUAUUUUUAAAACUGAUUUUCAUAUAUUGUUUCGAAAAUUCUAGAUGAUUAUUAUGUGAAUAUAUGUGUGAUGUGAGUAAGUGGUAUUGGUGGAUUUGUUGGUUAAUUAAUUAUGGUUAAUUAUGAGUAUUAUAUGAUUAAUAUAUGAAUUUUUGUGAAUUUUAUAUUAUCUGGUUUAUUGCGUUAACUGCUCAUAUGUGUUCGUAUUUGAGAGAUUUCAAUUUCUAUAUGCUCAGGAGAAAAUAUAGUUUAUUUGGAUAUUUUCAUAUCGAUUUAUGGAAUGUUAGAUGAUUUUAUAAUCGAUUUACGGAUUUAAUUGCGUAUAUUUAUAUUUAUUUAUUAAUUAUUUGACUUCCGUAAAACCGUCCACUCGUAACGAGGUAGCAAAUUUUCUUCCCGGAAGUUUCAACAAAACUCACCUUUAGCCUAAUUUGAAUAUUCCGGACAUUUUUCGUGUUUUGACUUUUUCGAUCCGGAGUACGGUUUUCCCCGGAGUCGGUCCGGCGGAGUUUUUCGGGUAUUUUAAUUGUUGAUAAUUAUCCAGUUUGUCUCGAUAAGCGUGAAACGAGAUAUUUUGAUUAUUAUAUUCAUCCUUAUCUUGUAAUAAUUGCAAUGGGACCCGCAGACCAAUAAUUGAGUUAAAAAGCCCCGUUUUGAUGAUUAUCUCGAAAACCGGUACCGAUUGGACCCCGCUUUAUUAAUAUAAAGCUAUUAAAUACGUAUUUUCAUGUCAUAAACGAUCCAAAGGGGUACCAAUUAUUUGUAAAUAUAAAUAGACUUUCCUGUAACUUAUUUUCACCGUAGAAAUCAUUUCAACAGUUUCUCUGCACGAAUAUCGAGAGAAACCGAGCGGUGUUCUUCGUGUUCUUCAUAAUCAAACGAAGAUUUGAAGGUGUUAUUGGAAUCCGAUGGAGGCGUAUAAAUAGUCAAAACGAAGCUAUCGACGCGUAGAAUCAAGUUUAAUCAUCCGUUUAUAUGCAGAUUCAACAGGUGAUUUUAGAUUAUUUUUCUAAAAUUCGAGUUUAUAUGAUUUAAAUGAUGAAUUUUUGCAAACGAUUCCGUUUAUGUGAUUUGAUGAUUCUAUGAUGUAGAGCAUGUUUUUCUCGUCGUUUUGGUAUAUUAUAUGUCAAAAACGGAGUUCAAUAACAUGUAGAAAAGUCAGUUUGAUUAUUGAAAUUGUGUUCUUGGUGUUCUUGAGCUUGUUGCCGGAAAAGUUUGAAUUUUGGCCGGAAAAUGGGUUCCGCUAAAUCUGGGCAGUAGUGGUAUAUAUGAAUAGAAAGAGGAGAGAAAGGGGAGUAUGCUGGUGUGCUUGGUUUGAGCGGAGGUGGCUCGAAUCGCCGCCAUCGGCGGCGGGAAGUCGCCGACUUCGGCCGGAUUUUCCGGCGAAUUCGCGCGACUUCUGCCUAAUUAAAGAUGGGGGAUUGAUUUAUGGGUGUGUGUACUACUGAUCUGGAGUAGAUGGUGAGUGGAGGACGCCUGGAAACGAAAAUCCGGCAAGUUAGUGUGAUGGCCGGCGGCUUAUUGCUGUUUGGUCACCGAAGUUUUGAAGAUGAUGAAGUUUUUGUACUCAGGUUUUGAAACUUAUGAAUUACCCCCUGUAACUUUGAAAAGUUGCACUUUAAACCCUGGACAAAACUUUCAAAAGUUUACAAAAUAAACCUUUUGAUUUAAUUUUCUAAAAUUGUUUUAUUUAAUUAUUUUAAAUUCCAAAAAUAGUUUUUAAUUAUUUCUUUAUUCAAAAAUAAAUCUAAAUUAGUUUAUUAAUUAAUUUUAAUUAGUAAUUAAUUAUUUUAAUUGGUCAAUUAAUUUAAAUAUUAAUUGAUUAAUUAUUUUAAUUAAUUAUUAAUUGAUUUUAAUUGAUUAAUUAAUUGGAUUUAAUUAAUCCUUUUUGAUUUAAAAAUUCCGAAAAAUAGUUUCGAGCUUUAAAAUAUUUUUCCAAAUUAUUUUCAAGGCUCGAUAAUUGUUUAUGAAUGAUUUCAAGUCCAAUUUCAAGUAUUUGGGACUUGAUUAUUUAUCCGAAAAGUGAUUCUUUUAUCGAUUUUAAUUCCGAAAAAUGUUUAAAAAUUCCAGAAAAUUCCCGAAAAAUCAUUUUUAACCCAAGACUUGAUUUAAUAUCAAUUGGGAUGGGAAACCUUAUGUGUUGUGUGUUGUCUGCUAUUGGUUGGAUGUGUUAUGUGCCGAUAGGAGAGUGAGAAAACUGUUUUGAGCAUAACUUUUGAUCCGUAAGUCGGAAUCAAGUGAAACGAAAGAGAGACAGAAGCUUAUAACGUCUAUUUUAAUAUGAUGUGACUAUAUGGCUGAGUCUAUAAGGUGAAUAAUUGUUGAUAAGUAUGCAUAAUGUGAUAAUAUGUGAUCUAAGUGCUAUCAGGUGAUGAUUAUGUGAAGUACGUGUUAGUUUUGAUAUUGUGAAGUGAUAAAUGAUUCGUAUGAUUGAUAUUGGAUAAGAAUAUAUGGAUUAUAGCUAUUGGAUUUUGUUGGUUGAUUAAUGAUUGAGAUAGGAUAAUAGGUGGAUAGUCUUAUACAUAGACGAGACGAUGUCGGAUUUUCGAUAAGGAUUUAUAUGAUAAUUGAUUGGUGAUAUGUUAUGUGGAAUAUGAUUGACUAUAUGUUAGAGUCAAAGCAUGCUUAUGUGUUACGUGGUAUCUGAUAAGUUUAAAGGGAUAUAUAAGUGGGUAUCGAUAUACGUGAGAUGUAUAUGCGAUCGAUUGUUUAGUGAUUAUAGUGUUAUCUUAUUCUCGUAAAGGAUUUGGACGAGACGUGUAUGCCCGAAGACGUUCAGAAAGUCACGUGGUGUUACAAAGCGAAUAAGGGAUGAAUCGAGUAAGCGAAGCGAAGAUGUACGGUAGAUAGAGUAUAGCCAGAGAUGGUCUAGAGACUAUGAGAUGCAUAGAUUGUGAAAGUGGAAAGAUGAGAUUGAGAUGUGAGACUGGAGUCAGAUUUAAGGCAAGUAUCCUAAACCUUUCUCUUGGAUAUAUUGCAAAUAUUCUGAUCCAUUCCUUUGGUAUAUGUUUCAAGUAUUCAUACCUUUCUUUUCAAUGUUCGAAAGUGCGAGUAUUCUGACCCAUUCUUUCUAAUCUUCAAGUUUCUAAAGAAUUUCCGUUUUACAAAUUAAUUCGAAGUUCAGAUUGUCAUUGAAGCAUGUGUUGCUCAGUGAUAGUUAGAGCUUUGAAUGAAUUGGGAUCUUCUUGAUUAUUCAACCCGCCAUUGUCAUGCUGGUUUAGCAGGCUAAAUUCAGUUGCUUAGCCGAUAAUGGAGGAUACUGAAUAGUUGAGGAUUUCCUGAACUGUGAUUUAUGAAAUGAUGGAUCAUGAUUUAUGAAUAGAUUAUUAUCAAAGUUUGAAUUGGAAUUAUUCUGUUGUUGAUGAUAUUUAUGAUGAUGUUCUGUUGAUUUACAUUGGCUUCUUGAAUUGAAUUAGAGAAUUGGAUUAUUGUUUUUAUAUAAACCUGUGGACCAGAUUCGUGGUCAUGUUAGGCCAAUGAGUGCCUUGGAUCCAGUGAUAGAGCAUGGCGGGGCCUGCUCGGGGUUAGGUAUGACUGAUCAGCAUCCUGACCUUGGUUUUUAAUUAAAAAUGUGAUAGUCCAAUUCAAUAAUUCUCUUGUGAAGGAUUGAAUUCCUCAGGUUUCUAUUGCUGCAAGGUAUUGUGAUUCUUUUAUACAAUACCUAAAUUUGUGAACUCAGGUUGAAUCUUUUUAUAUCUUGAACUCGAGAAUUUCUGUUAUAUCACUUCAGAACUUUCAUUGUUAUUAUUACUUGCUGAGCAUUGUUGCUCACUCUUGCUAUUCUCUUUUAACCAUUUCAGAAAAGCUUAAAGAUGAGAUGAUUGAUUGAGAUUGUGGAUAAGGCUAAUGCUAGGCGAGGAGACAGAGUUGAGGAGGAGACAGAGUUGAGGAUCCAGUGGUCAGGGAGUGGUGAGGAAAGUUGAUGAGAUUGGUGCAAGCUGGAAUAGUUGACAGUGAUUCUUCUUAUCGAAGAUGAUCUGACUUGGUAAGAAAUAUUGUAUAGUAUUAGUGGUGGAUUCUAAUUUCAAUACUGUAACCUGGAAGCGAUCCUGUUGUUUUGGGGGUUAAAUGUUCUCUUAAAAUUUUCUUAUUAUGGUUUUCAAGUUUGAAAUUCAGGUUUUGAAAUCAUUUGAUUUAUGUUCUCAUUCAAAGUUUUUAUUAAAUGUUUUCAAGUUUUAAAUUCUUUUGGAUUUUCAUUAUCUUUAAAUGAAAAUACCAGGUUUCAAAAGUAUUUUAAAAAGGGUUUUGUGUGGUGACGUCAGAAUCCAGACCCCCGGAUUCUCGGAAUGUCACAGUAUUAGUAAGAGAAUGAACAUGCAUAAACUGACUGAUAACAAAUAUUUUCUCCGUCUGUUUUUAGUUGUCACAUUUUAUUUUUGCUGGUUAAAUUGACUGAGUUUUGACCAAAGAUUAUAAAUUUUGUAAAUUCUUUAUAAAAAUAAAUAAUUAUCCUAUAUUCGAUAUAUCUUCUGUCCCAACAG